AUGCGUAGUAGACUCUUUAGAAAACGCACAUGCGCAAAUGAUAAUCCUGUUUUGCGACGAUUUACGACACUGCACGAUCUGUUCCACGCAUGCACAUAUUUGUACCGCGAGACUUUCAUUCACUCACAGCAAAAGAAAAUGGAGUUCAGCGGAAGAAAUGAGAAGUUUGCCCUUUAUAAUGCCGUUAGGCAAUAUUUGGUUGACGGGUUAGUGGAUGCGGCGUUGAAGAAGAAGGUCUCACGAAUGGCUGCAAAUUUCGUUAUAAGAGAAAGUAAAUUAUUCUACACUGGCCCCAGUGCACAAUUCAUGAGGCUGGUUGUGCUGUCUGAUGAGCAGAGGCGGGCUGUCCUGGAGGAGUGCCACAACAACCCUGGCACAGGGAACCAUGGGGGCGUGAGGGCGACCAUGGACAGGGUUGUUGUGGGGUACUACUGGGAUAACAUAAAGGUCAAAAGCUGUCACAGAUGCCAAAAGAACGACCCCAUAAAGACUGUGUCUCCUGUCCUUCACCCUAUUAAGGUAGAGCUUACCUUGGUGUACCACUUCAAGCAACAAGUUAGGUGAUGUGGUAAUAUUACAUAUAUCUACAGGUGAAAGAGCCGUGGGAGGUGGUCGGUAUGGACCUCAUUGGUCCACUGAAAAAAAACAUGAAAGACCAUCAAUACGUCCUCACGGUGACAGACCUCUUCAUGAAGUGGGUUAUUGCUGAGCCUUUAAAGUGUGGCUCCAGCACUGAGGUGGCUGAGGCACUUGUGUCAAAGCUCUACACAUUUGGUAUGGUCCGGAAAAUCAUCACUGACAGGGGCCGUGCAUUUGUUAACGAGGUAUGUGUCCUUAUUACCCUCUCCCUUCACCCCCUUCACACAGGACAUUUGACAUCAUCACAAUUCACGCUGUUUUAAGCGGUCAUUGGUCAUUUCUGAGAUCAAUAAAUAUUGAAAAUAACCAUGUGUGUCUGAAUUA
ensembl:lncRNA